AUUGAACGCUGGCGGCACGCCUUACACAUGCAAGUCGAACGGCAGCACGGGAGCAAUCCUGGUGGCGAGUGGCGAACGGGUGAGUAAUAUAUCGGAACGUGCCCAGUCGUGGGGGAUAACGUAGCGAAAGCUACGCUAAUACCGCAUACGAUCUAUGGAUGAAAGCGGGGGAUCGCAAGACCUCGCGCGAUUGGAGCGGCCGAUAUCAGAUUAGGUAGUUGGUGAGGUAAAGGACUCACCAAGCCGACGAUCUGUAGCUGGUCUGAGAGGACGACCAGCCACACUGGGACUGAGACACGGCCCAGACUCCUACGGGAGGCAGCAGUGGGGAAGUUUUAGGUACGAAAUAGGGCGGC
rnacentral:rRNA from 1 species